CCUACGGGAGGCAGCAGUGGGGAAUAUUGCACAAUGGGGGAAACCCUGAUGCAGCGACGCCGCGUGAGUGAAGAAGUAUUUCGGUACGUAAAGCUCUAUCAGCAGGGAAGAAGAAAGACGGUACCUGACUAAGAAGCCCCGGCGAACUACGUGCCAGCAGCCGCGGUAAUACGUAGGGGGCAAGCGUUAUCCGGACUUACUGGGUGUAAAGGGAGCGUAGGCGGCUGGGCAGGUCUGGAGUGAAAGCCCAGGGCUCAACCCUGGGACUGCUUUGGAAACUGAGGAGCUAGAGUGCUGGAGAGGUAAGUGGAAUGCCUAGUGUAGGGGUGAAAUGCGUAGAUAUUUGGAGGAACACCAGUGGCGAAGGCGGCUUACUGGCACGUAACUGACGUUGAGGCGCGAAAGCGUGGGGAGCAAACAGGAUUAGAUACCCGUGUAGUC
rnacentral:rRNA from 1 species